rnacentral:rRNA from 1 species
GACGAACGCUGGCGGCGUGCUUAACACAUGCAAGUCGAGCGGUAAGGCCCUUUCGGGGGUACGACGAGCGGCGAACGGGUGAGUAACACGUGGGUGACCUGCCCUCAGCUCUGGGAUAAGCCUGGGAAACGUAGGGUCUAAUACUGGAUAUGACUCCACGGUGCAUGUCGUGGGGUGGAAAGCCUUGUGCGGCUGAGGAUGGGCCCGCGGCCUAUCAGCUUGUUGGUGGGGUGANGGCCUACCAAGGCGACGACGGGUAGCCGGCCUGAGAGGGCGACCGGCCACACUGGGACUGAGACACGGCCCAGACUCCUACGGGAGGCAGCAGUGGGGAAUCUUGCGCAAUGGGCGAAAGCCUGACGCAGCGACGCCGCGUGAGGGAUGACGGCCU